rnacentral:misc_RNA from 1 species
CGUAUCGCUGGUAUGGCCGUGCGUCACGGCUUCGUCGCGCUGGGUUGGUGGGCUUGCUCGUAGCAUUUGUGUUUUGUAGGUUCGUGCCGUCGAUGCGCUUUUUAAUUAAACUAAACGCGAAGCCAGAAGAAAAUUGCGCGACCCCAUGGAGCGCGCAUCGGAGGCGCUCAGCGUCGACGACGUCUACAGCCUCGCAGAGGAGAUCGGCAAGGAGUUCGAAAUCCUCAUUGACAGCUACGGCGUCGAGUCUGUGAACAAGUUGGUCACCAAGGUGAUUCGCGUGUUGGAGUACCUCGAAGCGUACGCCACCAAGAAUGACAUCGCCAGCGACGAGAUCGCCCAGCUCAGGGCGCAGAUCUACCAGCUCGAGCACGACAAGUACGAGAAGGCUGAGUCCAGGAGCAAACUUGAAAAGGAGAUGGAACAGUACGAAGACACCUGGCGACAAGAGAUGAAAGAUCUGGGUGGUCUUGUGGCUCGCCUACAGGAGGAAAACUCCAAACUGAGCAGCUCGCUCAAAGAGAAGGAGAGCCACCGUUCCUUGCAGUGCGAGCCACAUUGUGUGACUAUUGGUGAGGACAUUGUUGUCCUUGAACGGCUUCGGGACGCCUUCGACAAACAGGCAGCCCAGCUGAACCAGUGUGAAAAGGACAAGGCGAAGCAAGCUGCCGACAUAGAAUCUCUUCAGCAGCAGCUGGAAGCCAGUAAGAAGGCCACUCAGGAGCAGAGCCGACGCAACCGGCGGCUGCAGCAGCAGAUGCGGCAGCUGUGCGACGAGCGUGGCGACCUGCAGGUGCAGUUGCAGGACCAACAGAGCCAGCUGCAGAUCUUGCAGGAGCGGCUAGGCCUUGCUGUCAAAGACCACGACGACCUUCUCCAGUCCAGGGAUGCUGUCCUGGAUAUGCAAGGAAAAGUGGUGAUUGACCUGGACGACCCGAAUCGACCCCGCUUCACGCUGGAGGAGCUCAAGCACAUCCUUUUUGAAAGGAAUGAGCUCAAGGCUCGAGUUAGUGAUCUUGAAGACGAGCUGGCUCUGUACAGGCCAAGGCCGGUUGACCCACCAUCUCCGGUCAAGGACGAAGACCGGCCCGUCCAAGGACCCAUCAACCAGGAGCCUGAGGAGAAGCUUUUUUCCUACGGAAAGGCCUCCGGCAUUCGCAAAUUGUUCCGGGUCAUUUAUAAGGUUAGAGGAUGAGUUUGCUGCCAUAUCUUGGACCUUGAAGGAAGGCAGCUCGCAGCAGCCGUCCCUCUAUCACUGUUUUCCAAGUGCUCUGUGGCCCCGCGUCAAGCCGGGAUGAGGGGCCUCGUCUGCUGCCUCCUGCGAGGCCUGCUCUCUCACGGCAGCCUGUCGUCGGAGUUCUUUGUCGACGUCGCACCGCUCUUCGAACUACACGUGGCCCUGUUUUCAGAAGCCGGACUGUUACCGUGAAGCCGUGCUUUCGUUGCUGGCGAGAAUGGAGAGUGACGCACUCGCCCCCUCGGGGAUGUGCAUCAUUGCCACUGGCACUGGGUGUGUGUGUGUGUGUUUGUGUGAGUGCGCAUUAUCUUGCGAACGUGCCAAGCUGGGAAAGCAGCAGGUUACAGUGGUGACAGCGAGUUCUGAAAUCGAAUUAAAACGUCACUGGCGAUCUGUAGGGCAGCACUAAAUGUGGCUUCACCGUGUCAGUGCACUCUCGUCUGAAAAACUGCAGCCAAAGUUUAAAAGCAGCAACCACGUGGAACAUCCCUCAAUCGUAGUUUCAUUGCCAUGUUGCCACGUCUGUCUUGUAACGCAUUAUGUCACCCGCUGUAAUCGUGGCUGAGGUGUAUUCAGUGUGGUUGCUGCGAUAAGUUAUGUUAAAGCGGAGCAUCACUAUGCCGCGAUUGCAGUGUGGGCACUGUGUUUUAUGGAAUAGACAUGGCAACGUAAUGGCUGAAAAUGCAAAUGAAGUAUGUUUCACUCAUUUUGUGUUUAUCUGUGCGCACAUUUGAGUACACUUCAAUAAUUUUUCAGUAGGCACCAAAACAUUGUACAAUCACACAUGUGCACGGAGUUCAUGCACCUGGCUUUGGCUGCAGUUUUAUGAGAGGCUGAAUGCAGAGUUCACAAUUUAUGUUGUAUAGUUUUUUUUUUUUCCUGUAGCUUUUGAGACGUCACGUUAAUUAUGUUCUUUGUGUAGAUUUGUUUUAUUUAUUCAGUGUAUUUUAAUAGUUCAGCUAUUUUUACUGUUUAUGCAUUUUAUUUGAAACCUUUCUGGUAAAGUGUUUUAUUCUUUACUUACAUUGUACCCUGCCUCUUAAUUAACAAAAAACUUUAAGACACUCCAAAAAUGACCCUAUCUAUAGAGCAGGGCAUGUUAAAAUAGGUCUAAUCCACUAUCACUACUUACAAGUACAAUUCUUAAAGGGACACUAAAGAGAAACAAUGAAUUGGUUUAGAUUGAUAAAGUGUGCUCGGAGAACUCUUGUGUAGUUUAUUUCACCACCAUACGUUUAUUAUUAGAGGAGAACACCAAGUUCAAAGUUUCAUUUUUAAAUUUCGUGCCAAACUUUGUAAUUCGUGACGUAAAAGAUUUCAAAGAGCAUUUAACGUAUUUUGGCACCACUGGCUCGACGAAAU